GGUGCUAGAAGUUGGAAAAAGGAAUAGGAGGCAAUGGGUUUAUAGUAGUGCAAACAUCAAAUUCAUACGGGAGCUAGUCUACAAUAUCAUAGGUUGGCCCUCAGUCAUUGUUCUAUGGGAAUUAAGGUCGCAACUUGGAAGCCGAUAUCAGGGUUGUUGUGGAUUAUUGCUGGUGAUGGUCUCCUGCGUAUCCGACCAGGUUAGACGUUCCAUUGUGAAAUUUAUUAUUAUUAAAGGCCAUAUGCAUGAUAGGGUAACGAACGACCGUUCAAUGCUAAGAUUAUAUAUGCUUCUUUACCCUAUUUACGAUACAUGUUCUGUUACUUUGUUGAUAUACCCGAUUUAAUAUAUGUGUUAAUCUGAGCAGUAGCUAUUACUGAUUAUUAAAUAAAUCUGGUAAUUAAUUGAUAACCUAGUUAGAGCCCGUAUGCUGGCGAUUGUGCUUAUUGCACUUCUGUUUUGCGGUGGGCCUCGGUAAGCGCCACAACUAACUAUUGUCGUGCGCUUUGGUAAGCGCCACAGUAACUAUACGUGGGACAUUUUAGUGCCACUAACUCUACGUGGGUCGUCAGCAUAUGUGAGCCGGGAUCCCAAAUAAAAUAUGGAUAUGAGUUAGAUUAUAGAAUUAGCCUUAUGUGUAAUAUGCUAUAUACGUUCUAUAUGAUUAUUUGUACCGUAGAGUGACCAUGGCAGAGAUCCUCACUCAGUGAUUAGCACUGAACCUUGCUUUCCAUUUCAGAGCAACAGUAGGCUUUACUGGUUCACACAGUGCAAAUCUACAAAUGGUAUCAUCGAGCUCUGGGGUUGGCCGUCCUGGUGAUGACGCCAGGUAGAUAUGGAAGAUUGUGUCUUGAUCAUCGUUUUGUGUUUAAAACUCGUUUGAGACUCUUACUCUCAUCAUGUGCAUAUGCUAUGAGUGGUUGCACACUAGUAU
rnacentral:lncRNA from 1 species